GAUGAACGCUGGCGGCGUGCCUAAUACAUGCAAGUCGAGCGAACAGACGAGGAGCUUGCUCCUUUGACGUUAGCGGCGGACGGGUGAGUAACACGUAGGUAACCUACCUAUAAGACUGGGAUAACUUCGGGAAACCGGAGCUAAUACCGGAUAAUAUUUCGAACCGCAUGGUUCGAUAGUGAAAGAUGGCUUUGCUAUCACUUAUAGAUGGACCUGCGCCGUAUUAGCUAGCUGGUAAGGUAACGGCUUACCAAGGCAACGAUACGUAGCCGACCUGAGAGGGUGAUCGGCCACACUGGAACUGAGACACGGUCCAGACUCCUACGGGAGGCAGCAGUAGGGAAUCUUCCGCAAUGGGCGAAAGCCUGACGGAGCAACGCCGCGUGAGUGAUGAAGGUCUUCGGAUCGUAAAACUCUGUUAUUAGGGAAGAACAAACGUGUAAGUAACUGUGCACGUCUUGACGGUACCUAAUCAGAAAGCCACGGCUAACUACGUG
rnacentral:rRNA from 1 species